AAAUUUUAAUUUUUAUCUUAUUCUCUUUUUUUUAUUUUUAUCUUUUAUUAGUCGAAAUAACGUUGAUUUUAGUAAUUUUUAUUGAAUUUAUUUGAUUUAUUUUUAAUAUUUAUAGUUUAUUAGUAUAGUAUUAGAAUUUUUAAUUUAUUAUUUAUAAGCUUACUUUAUUUGUAUUACCUUUUGUAUCAGGGUUUAUUAAUUUUAAGUCAAUUAUUUUACUUUCCCGAAAUUAAAAGAUUUAAUGUAAAUAUGGGAUUUUACGUGUUAAAGUAAUUUUUAAUAUUAUGUUAGAGGUUAUAUGCCUUUCAAUUUUAAAUAUCUGGUUUCUUAAUAUAUAAAUUUAAUUUAUACUUAAUUAUUAGUUUAUUUUUUUUUUAUUUUUAAAAAUUGGUUAAGUUUAGAUUAUUGGGGAUUAGCUCAUUAAUUUUUCUAUAAUUGUUAUUAGUCAAUUUAUUAUUUUGGUAGGUUUGAUAACGGCCAUUCUUGUAUUUCGUUAUAGUUAUAAUUUGUUCAUAUUUUAUUUUAUUUUAAUUUAGGUUUUUAUUAAGUAUGUGUUAAUUAAUUUUUAAUUAGCAUUAAUAAUGAUAGAAUUAGUAGUUUUGUUUAUUUAAAUAUAGUAACUCGGCAAUUUUUAUUUUCGCCUGUUUAACAAAAACAUGUCCUGUAGUUAUUAAUUUCAGGUCUAACCUGCUCUAUGAUUUAUUAUUAAAUGGCCGCAGUAUUUUAACUGUGCAAAGGUAGCAUAAUCAUUUGUCUUUUAAUUGGGGGCUUGUAUGAAUGGUUGGACGAGAAAUAGUCUUUCUUUAUUUGAAUAUUAAAUGAAUUUGAUUUUUUAGUUAAAAAGCUAGGAUUAAUUUGUGGGACGAGAAGACCCUAUAGAAUUUUACUUAUUAUUUAUUUUAUUUGUUUUAUUUGUUUUAUUAUUAGGUAUAUUUAUUAUAAGUUUUGUUGGGGUGACAAUAAAAUUUUUUUAACUUUUAUUUAUUUAUUUUCAUUAAUUUAUGUUGUUUUUGAUCCUUUAUUAUGGAUUAUAAGAUUAAAUUACCUUAGGGAUAACAGCGUAAUUCUUUCGGAGAGUUCUUAUCGAUGAAUGAUAGAGUUUGCGACCUCGAUGUUGGAUUAAAGUUAGUUUUGGGUGUAGCAGCUUAAUUUACUAGGUCUGUUCGACCUUUUAAUCUUUACAUGAUCUGAGUUAAGACCGGCGUGAGCCAGGUUGGUUUCUAUCUACAAAUAUUAAUUUGAAUAUCUUAGUACGAAAGGACCAGAUAUUUAUAAUAUUUAUUAUUUUUGUUUGAUUAAUAUU
rnacentral:rRNA from 1 species